rnacentral:rRNA from 1 species
UACGUAGGGGGCAAGCGUUUGUCCGGAUUUAUUGGGCGUAAAGAGCGUGUAGGCGGCCAAGCAGGUCCGCUGUGAAAAACUCGAGGCUCAACCUCGAGACGUCGGUGGAAACCGUUUGGCUAGAGUCCGGAAGAGGAGAGUGGAAUUCCCGGUGUAGCGGUGAAAUGCGCAGAUAGUCGGGAGGAACACCGGUGGCGAAGGCGGUUCUCUGGGCCUUACCUGACGCUGAGGAGCGAAAGCGUGGGGAGCGAACAGG